CGCUGGCGGUGCGCCUUAUGCAUGCAAGUCGAGCGAAGCUUUUCAGUAGUUUACUACAGAAAAUGACUGAGCGGCGAACGGGUGAGUAACGCGUGAGCAAUCUACCUUAGUUACAGGGAUAGCCCGAGGAAACUCGGAUUAAUACCUGAUAUUCUUUACAUUUCGCAUGAAAUCAAAAGGAAAGGUCAGCCGAACUAAGAUGAGCUCGCGUUCUAUCAGCUAGUUGGUGAGGUAAAAGCUCACCAAGGCAACGACGGAUAGCUGGUCUGAGAGGACGAUCAGCCACACUGGGACUGAGACACGGCCCAGACUCCUACGGGAGGCUGCAGCAGGGAAUAUUGCGCAAUGAGCGAAAGCUUGACGCAGCGACACCGCGUGUGGGAUGACGGAUCUAGGUUUGUAAACCACUUUCAGGAGGGAAGAAAAUGACGGUACCUCCACAAGAAGCCCCGGCCAACUACGUGCCAGCAGCCGCGGUAAUACGUAGGGGGCGAGCGUUGUCCGGAUUUAUUGGGCGUAAAGAGCUCGUAGGCGGUUCAACAAGUCGGUCGUAAAAGUUCAGGGCUCAACCCUGAAAUGUCGAUCGAUACUGUUGUGACUAGGAUACGGUAGAGGUGAGUGGAAUUCCGAGUGUAGCGGUGAAAUGCGUAGAUAUUCGGAGGAACACCAAUUGCGAAGGCAGCUCACUGGGCCGCUAUCGACGCUGAGGAGCGAAAGCUAGGGGAGCAAACAGGAUUAGAUACCCUGGUAGUCCUAGCUGUAAACGAUGGAUACUAGACGUAGGAACUGGAUUGACGGUUUCUGUGUCGUAGCUAACGCGUUAAGUA
rnacentral:rRNA from 1 species